AUGUUCACAUUUUCCAAUUAUUCUUCACCGUUUUUGAAAAUUCCUCAUGUUUUUAAAUUUUUGUUCGAAUUUCAAAAUUUGUUCACAUGUUUCGGUAAGUGUUCAAUUUUUUUUCAAUAUUUCAAAAUUCUAUUCACACUUUCAAACAUUGCUCAAAUUUUUAUAACUUUGUUCAUAAUUUCCAAGAGAAUGAUCGAAAAUUCUGGAAAAAAUCGGAUCUCUGUCUUUACAUUCUUUACUAGUUUGCCCUUAUUGAAUGUCAGUAGGGCUCACGGGUCGGAGUGGCUAGCGAGAAUGCCUCCUAAGCUGGAGGUAAGGAGCGCGUCACAUAGGAGGUCCCAUAGAACAGCUAUGCACGUCUCAAAAAGCUGUUACGUGGUCGAGUCAAAAGAAGGACAUAAAUACGACCCAGCAACAAAAACGACACAAACACGAAACAGGCGCAAGUGA
rnacentral:rRNA from 1 species